CAUCAACAGCCACUUCAUUGACACACCCAACUCAUCAACUGGACAUUUCAUAUACAUUCACCUUAACGCCGGGUUUGCUUGACAUGACAGUAUACCAUUUUACUUCUAAAUAAUUUAGUAUUUUAAAGUGGUUUAACACUCAAUCGCAUUUUAAACUGUACUUCCUAUUAAAUCAAUGAUUAAAUAAACUCAAUAAUUAUUAAAAUAACUCUGUUCUGGUUUGUUCACGCAGUGCCCUGACAUCUAUUGAUCGGUGAAACUCUUAGCGAGUCCACUAGGAUUCUAACUCGAUGAAAUUUGAUGAAAUCCACCUACACCAAUAGAUGGGACAACGAUAAAUAUUAAGAUUCUACAAGGUUAUAAUGUGUGCCUAAUCUAUGGUGAUGAUGAAAUAUUUGACAUAUUUUUACAGUAAUAUUUACAUUUGUUAUUAUAGUUCUUGUUCUUCCCAGUUUGGGUUUUUUCAUUUUUUUUAACAAUAUAGGUAUUAUAGACGUGUAUUAUUGCAUAUUAUAAAAUUUUGUUCAG
rnacentral:lncRNA from 1 species